UUCACUUGUGUCUCUUUUUCUGUAUCCACAUUUGCUUACCCUGUCAUGGAGUGUCCUCUGUCACUCUUUCUCCCUGCCUGUUUUUCAUUUUCUUUCCACUUCCCUGGUUCCCCUCCCUCUGCAUCUCCCUCCGUAUUCAGAUGUGGACGAUGAAAGCCUGCGGUUUAAACAUUAGGAGAGUGACCCAGCUGUGACCGGACAACUCUGCCCUGAGAGGAGGACGAGAAAGGGGACGAGGAGCAGCUGUGCUGCUGUUACACGUUGGCGAUGGAGUCUUUCUCUGGAGAUACAGAAGGAAGCACCGAUGACAUUCCAGGACGUAAAAAGUUCAAACUGAAAUCUCUGAAAAAUCGUCUCUUCGGGAGGAGUAAGAGAGGCGUUGAAGAGGGAGAUGCCAAACUCAGCCAGUCAGCCAGUGAUAUCACUGCAGAAAAAGGACCCGGAUCCGAGGAAGAUUUGGCGUGCUCCCAGGGGAUGAUGGGAUCGAGGGCAUUGUCCGCAGACAGCAUCUUUCUGGCUGAUCAGGUCCUGACAGACGCCGAGCCAGCUAAGGUCUUAUCUCAGGAAAACGUCCAUGGCAAAAUAAAAGCCCUGCAGAUGAAGCUCCAGCAGCAGAAGAUGCAUUUGGGGCCGCCGCCUCUGGUACUGCCAGCCAGACGUGCCGAGGAUCUGGGAAGCCGCUCUGAGGACGAGGGUCCUGCCCACGGCCUCUCUGAGAUCCCAGAAGCCCUCAGCAAGGCCAGGUCCAAGGCGCCGUCUCGUCCACUCUCGCCCCUCCCCAACCCUGCACCUAUCAAGUCUGUGCCCCUGUCUCCAUCCCAUCCAUUGCCCCCUUCUGUCUCCUCAAAUUCCUCCUCCACUGCUGUUGAGCUGACAGACUUCAACUCUCCAGUCCAAUUCACCCCCUGCCUGGACACUUCUGCUGCACGCCACCGGAUGUCUGUCAGGCCCAAAAACCAGAGAGCCAGGCCCAAGAAAACACCCACUGCAAAUUACUCCAAUGAGCCUGACGUACACACCCUAAACAACAUCAACUGCCCUGCAUCUGCGAGAGAAGAAGAACAGCAGGUUUGGACUGAAGAGGAGCUCAUAUUGGAAAAAGAACAAGGAGAGGCUGUUAUGGUUAAAUCUCAGCAUCUUCCAUCAAAACCCCCAGAGGUGGCACCAAUUAUCUCAGAGGAACCAUCCAAAUUAUCCAUCCAAACUGUUUCCGAACAGGACCAAGGUCUUCCUGGUAAAGUGUCCUCUGCACCCUCCCAGAUACUCAGAGUCAAGCCCCACCGACCAGCCGUUGUAAGGCCAAGUGACCGGCCACCCUCCUCCGUUAUACCGUCAGAACUAAAAGACAACAAAGACAGGGAUUCAGAGGUACAAGCAAUGUCCCUUGACAAGAGAAAACCCCCAAACAAGGUUGGAAUGGCUGUCACCUUGUGCGACCAGCUCUCCUCUAACUUUGGGUCGUCACCCGUUCACCAGCAUGUUCAAGGUGAGAAGGAAAGCACGAGGGGACUAACGAGACCCGCCCCAGGAUCCGGGUCCUUCCAUAUUUCAAUGACGGCUGCCAAAAACCGGGAUGCAGAAAGACCCCGAUCAGGCAGUUUUGUUGAAGCCAGACAAAAGGCAGAAGAUCAACAAUCUCCAAGCACGAGGGAAAUGGAAGAAUUAAGAGGGGGCCCCUUUGCUGUGGGAAGACUUAGACAAGCGGCAGCGCCACAUAAAAUCUCAGCAGCAUGGGACAGGAAGGACAGCCCCAAACACGGGGAACCAGUCACACCAUCUCAAAAUGUGACCACAGAUACCAGCGCCGCGAGGGCGGAGCAGCUGGAGAGCAACCAGGUGGUGGUGGUGGAGGAGGCAGUAGAAGCUCAGGAGGUCGAGGAGAACGAAGGAAAGCCAGCGUUUGGCGUCAAACUGCGCUCCACAUCUCGGUCGAUGCGAUUGCGGUCGGAUUCCUCUCCGAACCAUCGCGCUAAGCUGCCGGUGUGCGAGGAGCAAUGUGACCAACUGAAAAGACCGGAAAUAGGAGAUCUUGAAUCAAAAGAUUCAAUUCCAUCUGGCUACUCCCUUCCAGUCAAGCAUAACAAGCUGCCCACCGACAACCCUCACACCAUGGCAACCGAAGUCCAAACCGCCUCCUCAAACCUCAAAAAAGAAUCAUCUGUCCAGGAGUUGCAGCCUGCCCCCCAAACGACCUCGUCUGAGGUGUCCUGGAUGAGCAUAGCAAUGGAAAAGACCAGAACUCUGCAGCAGCUUUUCACUAAUAGAUUUCCGAGAGAUUUUACAGGUGUGCAGACAGCAGCUCGACCACAAGCACAAGUGCAGACAGAGACGCCCACAGGAGGGCAAGAACAGACACAAACUGUAAAACUGCAACAAAGCACGACAACAAUAGAGGGCGCAAAUCAAUCCCGGACUGAUGCCGUCAAAGCAGAAACGGUGCCGAGUGGAAGUCAAACGAAGGCCGUCAAACCGUCUCCGGCGCCGGCAGUGCAGCAGAAGACUCCUCCCCUUCAGUCCAGGGAGCCGCAAACGUUGAAACCAACCGGUGAACCUGCGUUUCCUGCACAGUCUGUGCAGAGCAAUCCAUGGACAAGCCAGUCUCCCUUGCACUCUUGUGCAACACCAGAGACCUCAUCUCAGGCCGCACAAGAGGCGGGGACACAGUCUCUUGCACAGUUUUACCUUUCCUCGGGCCAGCAGCAACAGCCCCGAUGCAGCCGUGGUGUUCACACCGCCAGCCAGCUUCCUUCAACCAUCUCGUAUUCGACCGCAUCAUCUGCUUCAUCUCAUCCAUCCGUUACUGCCUCGGGAAGCGGGGAAAGAGACGCCUCCAUGCAGGAAAAAGACGAUGAGUCCCUGUCAGGAAGGCGGGCAGUUUGGGCCGGGUCAGCAGGCGAAAAGGAGAAACGUGCAGAGUGGACCACUCCACCUGGAAUCAAGGGGGUCGACUCGAAGAAAGUUCAAAUAGAGGAGCAGACAUCAGGUGAAUCCCCAGCCAAGCCCCUAAAUAAAGACAUAAAACCAGUAGGGCGACAAGGGGUAAAACUUGCAGAGUCAGGUCCCACCAAAGUUCCAGAGAGACCCAGAGAGGACAAAUGGCUGCGGAAAAAUGCGGCGCCAUCUUCAUCGCCCUCAUCGUCACCUACAAGGCCAUCAGCGUUUCAGUCCGCGACUGACAGUGGACAGCCGUCCUGGAUGGAACUGGCAAAAAGGAAGUCAAUGGCCUGGAGCGAUAAGUCCAUGGACUGAGGGGAAAACAGACAGAGAGACGGUUCUGUGGAUGCAACAGUAUGAUCAGACCGGCAGACAAAUUGUGUUGUUGAGUCUUUCAUAAAGAUGCAGUGGAAACUCUAUUUUGGCUGCUACGAUUGUGUGAUGAAUUUCAUUCAGUUGUUAAAUUUGAGAGACAGUCCGAGAGUAUAUAUUAACGUUCAAGUUUAAUAUCAUCCUUUUUCACCACAAGCACUAAAUGCUAUUUCUGAGUAAUGUGUCAUGUGAUUCAGCAUGUCACUGCUGAGGAUAGUUUGUGUUGAUUGUCAAGUGCGUUUUUUUUCUGAAACUGUAGGGGAGAACUAUUGAAUAACAAAAUUAAAGUAUUCAAACCAUUUUAACUAGUUGCAUUGAGGCAACUCAGAGGGAAUACGGAGUAACCCCUAAUAUAAUUGUAGCAUAUCUUAAAGACUUUAUCUGGAGAGUGUGGGUCAAGAUUUAAAUAAAUGCAGCAACAUAUUGACCCAGCUUUUCCCUGAGCAUUAACCUGUCAUUAAUGCACCAGUAUAUCAUGGGAUGUCCACUUGGGCCUACUCACUAUCACAGCCUGUAGAUCAUCGUGGCAGGCCACAACUGUGAAUAGGGACCAUCGCUGGGCCUCUUGCUUGAAAUGAUUGGGUUUUAAAUGAUACUUUUACCACCUUUGCCGCUGUAAUCCUAUGAAUUUCUACGCUAGGGGACUAAUAAAGGAUUAUCUUAUUUUAUCUUAUCUUGUACUUUUAAAAUGUGUGUUUGUUUUUAAACCUGAGCAUGCAUUGAACUCACACUGCCAAUACUACGUUCUUUGGUUGCAUACAAAAAUACAAUGUGGAAACUACAUGCACCGUAUCCACGGCCCAAAAAGUUGUCAGUUGGUCUCGUUUUUUGGUUCUAAACGAAGAACGAGAAAACGAAUGCCCACUUCCGGUUUACCGUUUUGGAUUAGAAACGAGAAACGAGUGUUUUCGUUUUCUGUUUUUUUGCGGUAAAAGGGACGAUAAAGGGUACACGGAGCUACACGUACAUACACGGAACAAAAUUCUCUCUUUAUGGAACCAGUGUGGCCAAUUCCUUAACGAGGAAAGACGCUGCAGAAUCAGCGGCGGCUUUGCGCAUGCGCGCGUGACUGUCAAUCUGGACGUGGCGUAUGUCUCCUCUGUGUUCUGACUGCAGCUGGACUGCUGCAAGCCUCGAGGCUUCUGUGAGACUCGCGGAUAAGCCAUUGGGGACCCCCCAUAAGAAUUUAUUUUUAGAUUUUGGGGGGUCCCCGAAAAAUAUUUUUAACAUUAAAAGUGAUUGUGUAAUUAUAGGUCAUAAGUGACGUUUUAUAUUUAUAACAAAAAAUUACUUUAUUUCCUAGCGCGAUUGAGCAGCUAAUAGCGUCACAGGUUGUUGUCGUGGUCCUCCGGAGUAAACAGUACAGUCUGUGGCACAGACACGUAGGUCAUUGAACGCGGCAAAAUCGAAGCCUCACAAAGAGUGAAAUCUAAAGAACCCUCAUGAAAAUCCCUUCCUGCUGAUGAAAUGACGCCAUCGUUGCAGUUAUGACUACAUUGAGUGUAACGGAGCCGGAUCAUGGGAUGCAGAAGGCCAACGUGUGCCGAUAUCUGUCCACAUAUGCUUUUAUCUUCCUCUUCUUAGCCGUGUC